CAAUUAGGGUCGUUAACACUUUCCCCCUUUAGAACAGAACAGAACAGAACAGAUCACAGUUUUGAGUUGGGUUAAAACAUUCAUCUUCAACCUCUCCUUCGAUCAGGAUCUCUUGCUACGAUUCAUUCAUUUUUCUUGCGGAAUUAAAAGACACAGACUUCAGAUUCAUGGGUGACGCUACUCCCAAGAAAUUAACUAUAUUACCUGAUCACUUCCAGUGUUCCUACUCCAUCAUCUUCCCAGCCAAGAGAUGAUCCUUCUUUGAGGUAACAUGAAUAUUGCUAGACAAAGGUGGAGACUUUUGAGUUGAAAACUCUCUAUCGUAGACUUGAACCCUCAAGAUUCUACGUUGCUAGUGGAUAUUAUUGAAGUUGGUUCGUUACCAAGCUACACAAGAGAAGUUCGAUGAAACACAUCUUUGCUUUUAUAUCUUAACCCGUCAAGGUCUAAGGUUUGAGUGCUCAAGCACUUCCACAGCUCCUGUUCCAGGUGGAUUCUUGGUUGUCGGUCUUUCGUGGUGAUUGUAAGUCUGAACAAGAAGAAAGAUUACCAAAUGGAUCAAGUGAAGGCGCCUAAGUAGAUUGAGGAUUAUUCACUGCUCUGUAUAGCUUUCAUUCUUCUAUGUACUGUGUAGAAAAUGCCUGUUUAAGAUGUAGCUAUAGACUAUAUGUUACUUUGUUAUGAGCUAGUUGGUGAAUUGUACAACCUCUUUAAUUCGUCUUGGAGUUUUAAGGCUACAGCAUCGUGUCGUCCUCGGAUUGU